CACGUAGGCACCAAGCGUUGUCCGGAUUUAUUGGGCGUAAAGAGCUCGUAGGCGGUUCAGUAAGUCGGGUGUGAAAACUUUGGGCUUAACCCAAAGCGUGCAUCCGAUACUGCUGUGACUUGAGUACGGUAGGGGAACGGGGAAUUCCUAGUGUAGCGGUGAAAUGCGCAGAUAUUAGGAGGAACACCGGUGGCGAAGGCGCCGCUCUGGGCCGAAACUGACGCUGAGGAGCGAAAGCAUGGGUAGCAAACAGG
rnacentral:rRNA from 1 species